CACGUAGGGUGCGAGCGUUGUCCGGAAUUACUGGGCGUAAAGCGCGCGCAGGCGGUCUUCCAAGUCAGUGGUGAAAGCCCGGAGCCUCAACUCCGGAACUGCCAUUGAAACUGUUAGACUUGAGGACGAGAGAGGUGAGUGGAAUUCCCAGUGUAGAGGUGAAAUUCGUAGAUAUUCGCAAGAACACCAGUGGCGAAGGCGGACUCACUGGCCCGAGUACUGACGCUGAGGCACGAAAGC
rnacentral:rRNA from 1 species